UGGGCUGCCUGGAGGCUCAAGUGCCACC
rnacentral:piRNA from 1 species